rnacentral:other from 1 species
GACCUUCUGGGAUGUUGGCGUGUUAACUAUGUCCCUGAGCCGAUAAGUACUACUUAAGGGUAUCGCUUGUUUGCUAUUGAGCAUGCCUGACUCGUAUCAGGAAGCCUACGGUAAGCACUUGACUCCCGCCUUGAACACACGGUGUUCAAGGGCUGACGUUGACUGCGGCAUCUUGGAAGGCGU